rnacentral:rRNA from 1 species
CUGGCGGCGUGCCUAACACAUGCAAGUCGAACGGGGAUUUGUUUCGGCAGGAUCCUAGUGGCGAACGGGUGAGUAACGCGUAGGCAACCUGCCCUCCGGCCGGGGACAACACUCCGAAAGGGGUGCUAAUACCGGAUACGAAGUCUGUGCCGCAUGGUACGGAUUUGAAAGAUGGCCUCUGUUUAUAAGCUAUCGCCGGGGGAUGGGCCUGCGUCCGAUUAGCUGGUUGGUGGGUAACGGCCUACCAAGGCGACGAUCGGUAGCCGGUCUGAGAGGAUGAACGGCCACAUUGGGACUGAGACACGGCCCAGACUCCUACGGGAGGCAGCAGUGGGGAAUCUUCCGCAAUGGGCGCAAGCCUGACGGAGCAACGCCGCGUGAGUGAGGAAGUUCUUCGGAACGUAAAGCUCUGUUGUUCCUGACGAACCUCCCUUCUAUCAACAACGGAGGGGACUGACGGUAGGGAACGAGGAAGCCACGGCUAACUACGUGCCAGCCGCCGC